ensembl:vault_RNA Vault Vault RNA
GCGCUGGUGUAGCUCAGUGGUUACUUCAAAAAUUUUCUCUAUCAGAAAUGUUCUGUACCUCUGCAAAGGGGUUCGAAACCACGGGCGCUGUCCAGUGUUUUG